rnacentral:lncRNA from 1 species
AACUUCUUGAGAAAUACGAUAUACGAUGAUUGGCCAUCAGAUUAUAAAGUAUCAACGUAUUAUGCUGACUUAUUAUCGAAUAAAUACGUGAAAGACCAUGCCGAUGAAUUUCCUACAACUUUUUCAAGCUUGCGCGAAUCGUCAAAUAAAUAAUGAAAAAUCUGAUAGAGAUGAGAAGACAAAUAAUAGCGCAACAUACAGUAUAGAAAAUGUUUAUCUCUUAAGUAGAUUCAUUAGAAAUGUUAAAUCUUCUCGAUGAAUAUCAAUUGAAGUUAUUCAAAUCAAAAACAUUGUGUAGUAUUAUGGGAACUGUAAAUAAAGAAAUGGAAUGAGAAUGAAAAAUGAGAAAUGAUAAAUGAAA